UACGAAGGGGGCUAGCGUUGUUCGGAUUUACUGGGCGUAAAGGGCGCGUAGGCGGCAUGACAAGUCACUUGUGAAAUCUCUGGGCUUAACCCAGAACGGCCAAGUGAUACUGUCGCGCGUAGAGUGCACGAAGGGGCAAUCGGAAUUCUCGGUGGUAGCGGUGAAAUGCGUAGAUAUCGGGAGGAACACCUGAGGCGAAGGCGGGCUACUGGGCCGAUACUGACGCUGAGGCGGCGAAAAGCGUUGGGGAGCGAACAGG
rnacentral:rRNA from 1 species